UAAAUACUCCCUCCGUCUUAAAAUUCUUGUCUUACAUUUGUCUACAUAUGAAUGUAUCUAGUCAUGUUUUAGUAUUUAGAUACAUUCAUUUCUAAAUAAACCUAAGACAAUAAUUUUAGGACCGAUGGAGUAUAAG
rfam:Hordeum vulgare subsp. vulgare, WGS project CAJW01000000 data, contig: morex_contig_60946